AGCGAACGCUGGCGGCAGGCCUAACACAUGCAAGUCGAACGAAGUCUUCGGACUUAGUGGCGGACGGGUGAGUAACACGUGGGAACGUACCUUUUGGUUCGGAACAACUCAGGGAAACUUGAGCUAAUACCGGAUGAGCCCUUAGGGGGAAAGAUUUAUCGCCGAAAGAGCGGCCCGCGUUAGAUUAGCUAGUUGGUGAGGUAAAGGCUCACCAAGGCUACGAUCUAUAGCUGGUCUGAGAGGAUGAUCAGCCACACUGGGACUGAGACACGGCCCAGACUCCUACGGGAGGCAGCAUUGGGGAACCUUGCGCAAUGGGCGAAAGCCUGACGCAGCCAUGCCGCGUGAAUGAUGAAGGUCUUAGGAUUGUAAAAUUCUUUUACCAGGGACGAUAAUGACGGUACCUGGAGAAAAAGCCCCGGCUAACUUCGUGCCAGCAGCCGCUGUAAAAC
rnacentral:rRNA from 1 species